CAAAAAGGGCAAACUCGAAAGGGUGAUCAGGUUUCCCGUAGGUUCCGAAGACGGUGUCCAACCAAUCCUCUUGGGCGAAACUUGUGAUUAGUUGCAGAUUUCAGUCUAUCAGAAUCACUUGGGCAACCAAAUCAUCGAGUUAGGUAAACAGAGACGAACAGAGUUGAGGUUUUACAAGAUUCCAACAAUCCAAAAAUUCUAUCCUUCCGCUGUGUGAAGGGAGCUGCUUCCCAAACAUCACUCGCAAACUUACACUGAAAAAACAGAUGAGGGAUAGAUUCAAUGGCACCACGUCUCUUACAUACCGGCUCAACAUUGAUAUGUCUUUCUACCAGUCUUGCGCUCACAGGGAGGGCUCCUUUAGCUGCUUUCCAGAUCAACAUUUUAACCUUUGGGGCUGUAGGUAGGUUCCAUACAGACUGGAACCAGUUGACGUUGACGUCUGAAGGUUGAAGGCCAUGUGAAAAAAACAUUGCAUAGUAUAUAUAAACCUUUCAAAAACUUUGAUAUUUUUUCUUUGAAUCAGAAUAUUUUAAGCCAAAAACCUAGCUCAUUUUAAAAAUAAAAAUUAGAUUUUCAUCCGCCUUUUAAGACACUGAGAUUGUUGUUUAGCGUUUAACAAAAUUUUAGUUUUUGUCAUUUUUAAUUAUUUAUGAAUUAUUAAACAAAAAUUGUCAAAGGAGGUAAGAUAAUUAAUUCAAUUCUCUUUGCAGCCAAGUGAAGAGAAUUUAACAUUAGUAUUUGUCUGCUACGAAACUGAGAUU